rnacentral:rRNA from 1 species
GACGAACCUUGCUAACGUUAUUCGGAAUUACUGGGCUUAAAGGGUGCGUAGGCGGUGCAGAAAGUUGGGUGUGAAAGCCCUCGGCUCAACCGAGGAAUUGCGCCCAAAACUGCUGCACUAGAGGAAGACAGAGGUACGCGGAACUUAGGGUGGAGCGGUGAAAUGCGUUGAUAUCCUAAGGAACACCGGUGGCGAAGGCGGGUCUCUGGGCAACAACUGACGCUGAGGAGCGAAAGCGUGGGGAGCAAACAGG